rfam:Schistosoma curassoni strain Dakar, Senegal genome assembly, scaffold: SCTD_contig0009210
AUCCAACUGACAAGUCCCAAAUAGAACGAAACACGCGUCUUGUAU